rnacentral:rRNA from 1 species
UACGAAGGGGGCUAGCGUUGCUCGGAAUGACUGGGCGUAAAGGGCGCGUAGGCGGUUCUGUUAGUCAGGCGUGAAAUUCCUGGGCUCAACCUGGGGACUGCGCUUGAUACGGCGGGACUUGAGGACGGAAGAGGCUCGUGGAAUUCCCAGUGUAGAGGUGAAAUUCGUAGAUAUUGGGAAGAACACCGGUGGCGAAGGCGGCGAGCUGGUCCGUUACUGACGCUGAGGCGCGACAGCGUGGGGAG